GAUUGAACGCUGGCGGCAGGCCUAACACAUGCAAGUCGAGCGGCAGCACGGGUACUUGUACCUGGUGGCGAGCGGCGGACGGGUGAGUAAUGCCUAGGAAUCUGCCUGGUAGUGGGGGAUAACGCUCGGAAACGGACGCUAAUACCGCAUACGUCCUACGGGAGAAAGCAGGGGACCUUCGGGCCUUGCGCUAUCAGAUGAGCCUAGGUCGGAUUAGCUAGUUGGUGAGGUAAUGGCUCACCAAGGCGACGAUCCGUAACUGGUCUGAGAGGAUGAUCAGUCACACUGGAACUGAGACACGGUCCAGACUCCUACGGGAGCAGCAGUGGGGAAUAGUUGGACAAUGGGGACGAAAACGCCCGA
rnacentral:rRNA from 1 species